rnacentral:rRNA from 1 species
ACGGGUGAGUAAUACAUCGGAACGUACCCAGAAGUGGGGGAUAACGCAGCGAAAGUUGCGCUAAUACCGCAUACGUUCUACGGAAGAAAGUGGGGGAUCUUCGGACCUCAUGCUUUUGGAGCGGCCGAUGUCUGAUUAGCUAGUUGGUAGGGUAAAGGCCUACCAAGGCGACGAUCAGUAGCUGGUCUGAGAGGACGACCAGCCACACUGGAACUGAGACACGGUCCAGACUCCUACGGGAGGCAGCAGUGGGGAAUUUUGGACAAUGGGCGCAAGCCUGAUCCAGCAAUGCCGCGUGAGUGAAGAAGGCCUUCGGGUUGUAAAGCUCUUUUGUCAGGGAAGAAACGGCUCCGGCUAAUAUCUGGGGCUAAUGACGGUACCUGAAGAAUAAGCACCGGCUAACUACGUGCCAGCAGCCGCGGUAAUACGUAGGGUGCAAGCGUUAAUCGGAAUUACUGGGCGUAAAGCGUGCGCAGGCGGUUUUGUAAGUCUGUCGUGAAAGCCCCGGGCUCAACCUGGGAAUUGCGAUGGAGACUGCAAGGCUUGAAUCUGGCAGAGGGGGGUAGAAUUCCACGUGUAGCAGUGAAAUGCGUAGAGAUGUGGAGGAACAC